rnacentral:rRNA from 1 species
UACGGAGGGUGCAAACGUUGCUCGGAAUCAUUGGGCGUAAAGGGUGCGUAGGCGGCGCGGUAAGUCGGGUGUGAAAUCUCGGGGCUUAACUCCGAAACUGCAUUCGAUACUGCCGUGCUUGAGGACUGGAGAGGAGACUGGAAUUUACGGUGUAGCGGUGAAAUGCGUAGAUAUCGUAAGGAAGACCAGUGGCGAAGGCGGGUCUCUGGACAGUUCCUGACGCUGAGGCACGAAGGCCAGGGGAGCAAACGGG